AUGUACAUGCCUAUAGUAUAGCGUUAAUGCAUAGCAUCCCAUUAGAACUCUAGAGUUAAGCGCUCUCGGACCGAGAGCUAGAGUAGUAUUGGGAUGGGUAACUGCCGAGGAAGUCCUAGUGUUUUACAUG
rfam:Picea glauca, whole genome shotgun sequence.